rnacentral:rRNA from 1 species
UACGUAUGGAGCAAGCGUUGUCCGGAAUCAUUGGGCGUAAAGCGUUCGUAGGCGGUAAGAUAAGUCAGAUGUUAAAGCCCGGGGCUCGACUCCGGUUCGGCAUUUGAUACUAUCUAACUGGAAUGCGGUAGAGGUUAAGGGAAUUCCUGGUGUAGCGGUGAAAUGCGUAGAUAUCAGGAGGAACAUCGGUGGCGAAAGCGCUUAACUGGGCCGUUAUUGACGCUGAGGAACGAAAGCCGGGGGAGCAAAU